rnacentral:rRNA from 1 species
UACGUAGGGUGCAAGCGUUUGUCCGGAAUUAUUGGGCGUAAAGAGCUCGUAGGCGGUCUGUCGCGUCGGCUGUGAAAACUCGGGGCUCAACUCCGAGCUUGCAGUCGAUACGGGCAGGCUAGAGUUCGGCAGGGGGAGACUGGAAUUCCUGGUGUAGCGGUGAAAUGCGCAGAUAUCAGGAGGAACACCGGUGGCGAAGGCGGGUCUCUGGGCCGAUACUGACGCUGAGGAGCGAAAGCGUGGGGGAGCGAACAGG